rnacentral:rRNA from 1 species
CUACGGGCUGCACCAGGCGAGAAAACUUUGCAAUGUGCGAAAGCACGACAAGGUUAAUCCGAGUGGUUUGUGCUAAACGAACCUUUUGACAGUCCUAGAAACACUGUUGAAUAAGGGGUGGGCAAGUUCUGGUGUCAGCCGCCGCGGUAAAACCAGCACCUCAAGUGGUCAGGAUGCUUAUUGGGCCUAAAGCAUCCGUAGCCGGCUCUGUAAGUUUUCGGUUAAAUCUGUACGCUCAACGUACAGGCUGCCGGGAAUACUGCAGAGCUAGGGAGUGGGAGAGGUAGACGGUACUCGGUAGGAAGGGGUAAAAUCCUUUGAUCUAUUGAUGACCACCUGUGGCGAAGGCGGUCUACCAGAACACGUCCGACGGUGAGGGAUGAAAGCUGGGGGAGCAAACCGGAUUAGAUACCCGAGUAGUC